CAGCAGCCGCGGGAAUACGUAGGUGGCAAGCGUUGUCCGGAAUUAUUGGGCGUAAAGGGCUCGCAGGCGGUUUCUUAAGUCUGAUGUGAAAGCCCCCGGCUCAACCGGGGAGGGUCAUUGGAAACUGGGAAACUUGAGUGCAGAAGAGGAGAGUGGAAUUCCACGUGUAGCGGUGAAAUGCGUAGAGAUGUGGAGGAACACCAGUGGCGAAGGCGACUCUCUGGUCUGUGACUGACGCUGAGGUGCGAAAGCGUGGGGAGCAAACAGGAUUAGAUACCCCUGUAGUCCCUGUCUCUUAUAC
rnacentral:rRNA from 1 species